CCUACGGGAGGCAGCAGUGGGGGAUAUUGCACAAUGGGGGAAACCCUGAUGCAGCGACGCCGCGUGUAGGAAGACGGUCCUCUGGAUUGUAAACUACUGUCCCCAGGGACGAAGAUGACGGUACCUGGGGAGGAAGCCCCGGCUAACUACGUGCCAGCAGCCGCGGUAAUACGUAGGGGGCAAGCGUUAUCCGGAAUUACUGGGUGUAAAGGGAGCGUAGACGGUUAAGUAAGUCUGGAGUGAAAGGCCGGGGCCCAACCCCGGGACUGCUCUGGAAACUAUUUAACUUGAGUGCAGGAGAGGUA
rnacentral:rRNA from 1 species